UGGCGGAUGCUUAACCAUGCAAGUCCCACGGAUGGGGGCNACCCCAUUAGUGGCGGACGGGUGAGUAACGCGUAGGUAUCUAUCCUUGGGUGGGGGAUAACUGUGGGAAACUACAGCUAAUACCGCAUGAUCCCUGAGGGGCAAAGGCGCAAGUCGCCUGAGGAGGAGCCUGCGUCCGAUUAGCUAGUUGGUGGGGUAAAGGCCUACCAAGGCUGCGAUCGGUAGCUGGUCUGAGAGGAUGAUCAGCCACACUGGGACUGAGACACGGCCCAGACUCCUACGGGAGGCAGCAGUGGGGAAUAUUGGACAAUGGGCGCAAGCCUGAUCCAGCAAUGCCGCGUGGGUGAAGAAGGUCCUCGGAUUGUAAGGCCCUUUCGGCGGGGACGAUGAUGACGGUACCCGCAGAAGAAGCCCCGGCUAACUUCGUGCCAGCAGCCGCGGUAAU
rnacentral:rRNA from 1 species